rnacentral:lncRNA from 1 species
GUUUGCAUAUUAGCCCUGAAGCUUGUGCAGUGAGGCAGGAUAGAGGAAUGGGAACAGCUGGAGCCAGAGAGACCUGCUGGGAAUCUGGGCUCAGCCACUUUUGACCUGCAUGGUUUCUUGCAAGUCAGCUCAGAGCUGGACCAAAGCAGCUGUCGAUCCUUUGCCUCUUUGCACUUUGGAGCCCAGUCCUGAUGGGACCAGGUGUCAGAGCCCUGCCAAAUCUGUGAGAAGGGUGGAAGCAAGUUUCCCUGAGGGAAAAAAAAACAACAAAAAAAAACCUUCUGGAAUUGGGAAAAAUUUAGGUCAACAUCAUUUGAACCUUGACCUCUUGCUCUUUUGUCCCCGGGUGGACAUUUCCUUGACCUCCAGAAAUUCCUCCACCUCAAGGGAAGACUUCUUGCCCCCCUCACUUCCAGAGGCCUCCAAAGUGGGCUGGGAAGAGAUUUAAAGCAGGACCCUGGGAAGCAUGAUGAGACUCUGGAGUGUAGAGAGGCUUCCCUGCAAUGCAAAGAUCUUCAAAGGCCAAGCCCAAGGCACUGCAACCCCCAGGAGGGCCCACUCCAAAGCAGAACAGUGGAGGGAGAGCCUGCGUGUCAAGAAGCCUGGACAGCAAGACCCCCUACUGUGGCAGCCAGCCUGCUUGUAGGAGUCCUGAGAAGCCUAAUUCAAUUACCCUUAUCAGAAUGUCUCUGAACUUAACAAAGCAGAUAAUGAGUUCCAGAGACAGAUACUGCUUGGGGGGCCAAAAUUAUUUUGCUUCCCCAAAUUGGAGGCUGAAAUUGGAGAUGUUUGAAUAAUGGAAAACAUAAUCCUUCCCUAGGCCCAACCCCCUCCCAGUACCCACACCUGAGACACCCUUUCAACCAAGGAGCCUGGAUUCAACAUCCAUGCCGUCUCUCCUCCUGAAGACACCUGGUCAUGAACUCGACCUCUUUCCCCCACCAUCUUUGUGCCAUCGAUGGAAGGAAGCUGCGUACAGGAUGGAAGUGGGAGGGGAAAGGGAUUAACAUUUAUGGAGCCCUCCCCUCUAUGUGUCAGCUACAUAACACAUAGCAUUCAUUUCAACCACAGAACAUAUGUCUUUACAUUACAGAAGGCAACGGAGAACUGGAAAAGUUAACUUACUGCCUGAGGACCCAUCCCCAUCUCACCAGCAGCACAGUCAGAUUCAGACACAGGUAUUCAACUUUGCAACACACUGUGCCUCACGGCCUGUGUGCUCAACAUCAGAAAUCAAAUAGAAACUCCCUCAUUCUAAGAUUCAUAGCCAUCCUCCGAGAUAUGACAUAGCGACCUCUCCUCCGUGAACAGGGAAACAGACUGAGAGGAUAACCUAACUCUCCCAAGGCCAGAGUAUCCACUGGGAUAUGCAGCCAAGUCAGCCAGCAGUUGAAACAAGGGCUCUCUGUGCUAUCUCACAUCUGAAUUGAAUUGUUUCCUACAGACUUCUCAUAGCUCUCUAGGCAAGGAAUACAUCUUCUCACCUUCCCACACUAAGAAAGGCCUCUGUCUGAGCCUGGGUGCCGGGUGGCCAGGAUUCCUGCUGAACGUUCAGGAGCUUUCCAUCUCCAGAGGUGAGCUCCUAGUUCCUGCUUACCUUAGAACUGUAGAACAUAUAAUGUUACCACUGAAAAGAACCUCUCGUAUAGUUGGAUCACACCCUUUACCUAUUUAUUUAAAUGUACUGUUUUAAUUAUGUAACAUUUGAUAUGUGCAGGAUAAUAUGUAUGCAAAUUAUAAAGCAUAAUAAUAAAACCUGUGAACCCACCACUCAACCUUAGAACCAGACCAUUACAAUUGAUGUCCCUCCUACUUCCCCAACAGAAAUAACCACUGUCCGGGACUUUAUGUUUAUAGCCCCACCCCCCACAAUGAUUUUUAUAGUUUUGCCAAAUAUGUUAGCAUGGUAGAUUGCAUUAUUGCUCUGAGUUAAAUAUCCUUCCUUUGACAUAUAAUUUGGCAGUUCCUUCCAUUGGAAGUGAAAUACAUUUCUCUGCCCAAGAUGUUAGAUUUGCUUUGGUCAGUAGAAUGUUGCAGGCUGUGACGGUGAAAAUUCUGAGCCCAGGCCUUAAGAGGAAUCACCUGUUUCCACAUUCCCCACUUGUAUUUCUGCCUCUGCCAUGAGAAAAACAUGCUUCAGGUCACCUGCUGCUCCAAGGAGGAUGAGAGACCUAUGGGGAAGACCUGGACCCAAUCUGAAGUUAGAACUAAGUGCAACUGAGCCCAGCCUGGAUUAACCAACUCCCAGCCAAUCCACAGACACCUGGGUAAGAAUACAUGAAUGUUGUCAGCCACUGAGUUUUGGAGUCAUUUGUUAGGCAGCAUUAUUGUGGCAAUAGCUGACUGAUAUACUAUGUAUCCCUGAACAGCAUAUUGUUUACUUUUGCUUUUUUUUUUAGCUUUGA